rnacentral:tmRNA from 1 species
GGGGAUGCUGGGCUUCGACAUGAAGAUUUAUCAUUCUUUUGCGCAGAAUGAGCUGUGGCUCGCUCAUAAAACCAACCAUAAACCUAUAAGUGCAAAAACACUUGUCAGCCAGACCCGAUCCAUGUUCACCAUGCCGGUCCUGGCUACCGUUGCGGCCUAAUUAGUGCCAGCAACCGUUUGCCUGCCCAUGUCUUCUAGGCAGAUCCAAACGUCAUAAUGAAGGCUGGGUUCCAAAGUCACUUCGCUUUGGGGCUAAGACCAAAUGGAGUUUGAAUUUUCAAGGUUUUGUCGGCUUUUAUACUUGAAACUUCGAGAUCACAAAGCUGACUAUUUCUGUAGAGCCAAAAGAAUGUCCUUCGUGGACGCGGGUUCAACUCCCGCCAUCUCCACCA